rnacentral:lncRNA from 1 species
CCAACAAUCUUUAAACUGGCCUUCCUGCCACCUAACAUGGCCUCCUUUCAAUUCACUCUUCUUAGUGUUUCUGGAAUGACCUUUUCUACAAUGCAAAUCUGGGCAUGUUACCCAUCAGUCCUCAGGAUGAAGCCAAAUCUUUCUACCACAACUGUCUUCCACCUGGCCCCUACUAGCUCUUCAGACUCUGCCCAUCCUGUACCUUAGCACCCUGCCUCUGCAUCUGGAAUGUUUCUCCCUGGCCAAGUUUUCUUCAUCCUUGAGGAUGUGAUCAGCUGGAGAAGUCAACCACUUCUGAGUCUGACCCUGGUCUUCCAACGGGCUGUUGGAACACAACACCUCAUCUCACCUUCUGAGGCAAAAUGCCCAACUGGCACUGUUUUUAGACGAAUUAAGCUGCUUUUGACUUAGACAGAGGAUAAUCACAAGUUCCUGGAGGAUAAUAUUGAGAAGGGAAUCUGUCAGGGGAGACAUCUGAUCACACUCCGACCCUGUAGGGGAACGGCAGUGG